CUUGCUAGCUUGCUCUCUCUCUCUCCCCGCUGUCUGUUCUGCAGCUCAGUCAAGUACAGCCACCCUCGGAAAGUGCAAAAGCAGCCACGAGACAGAUCCAGGCUUUGUUGCUAAUUUCCCAGGGUGAAAAUUGACAAGCCUGCGAGCGCACUCAGCACAACCCAAUGCAUAUGCUACUGACAAACGCUGAGGACCAUCCCCUCCCGCCCAUCCCCAUCACACAGAGAAUGUGACCUCUGCGGGACUGGACUCCGGAAGGACCGUACCUCCUGGACUUACCCACAAGAAGAACUGCGAAAGAGCUCAGGAGGAGAAGGAUGAAAACUUUAAGGAACAAUGAAGGAGAGAGGUGCCGCUCUGAACCGGACUAAGGUGUAGAACUGGAGUGAGCUGCCCCCUCUUUCCCUACCGAAUUUGAAUGCUGUAAUGAGUAAAAGCUUAUGACCACAAGGCAAACAGAGUUUUUAGAGAACUCCUUUUUCAGGUGGGCCACUCUUGUCUCUCCUACAGUCCUUCCUGCUGUCUCUUUGGGAAGGUGCACUCACAGUUCAUCUUGGCUUCUGUGUGGAGCUCCCUACUCACCAGGGACUGGAUUUCUCUUCAUUUUCCAGUGUGGAAGACAUAUGUGGGGUCAGUUACUCCUGGACCCAGAUCGCUCCUCUUUCUCUUUCAAUGUGAACAAGUAUCCUAAGAAAAAGUGUUAGUGUUUGUUUUCUGGAGGGCUUUGACAUAGCACUUUGGAGCAGGCAGCAUUGGUUUCUGCACACUGUUUUAAUGGCUUUUGGAUGCUCAGGAGAAAUUCCCCAAUAACUCCAAAAGCAGCUUCAACAUUUGCCUUCCUGCCCUCCGAAGAGAUUCACCAAUAUGCACACAGCUGUCCUUGGGCAGUGUAGGUUCAUGCUAGGUUGUUUAAAAGGGUAAUAGUUUUAAGUUCCAUUCCCGUCUUAUCUAGUCUAUAAUUUAUUUUUUUCAAAAGUAAAUCCCAAAUAUUCUAUUGCCAUCUCACUCAUACCUGUGUAGAGCCUAAAAAUAGAUCCAGUCACAGAGCUGCGAUGAUGGCUCAAAUUCAUCUCCCAUCAAACCAGUGCUUGGCUUGGGAAAUCUCUCUGUGAAACAAGCAGGACUUCUAAGGAGAGCAAAGCCCAACCACUGAAAAAAACUUGAAAUUCAUCCUCAUAAGAACAGAAUGUUUUUGCAGUAGUGUUUUGAUUUUAUAUUUAUACUUUAUACCUUUGACAUUUUAUGAACAAAUUUAAGGAGUAGCAAGGGUGUUGGCAGCCCUUGGAAAUACGAAAUGGUUAAGCAGUAUCUUAAUUCGAAGAGGCAGAAAGUGAAACCUCACAGUCUAAGGUCGACAUCUCAAUAAGAUGAUAAUAAAGGGAGAGGAAGGCCCACAUUUUAUUUAUAUUUUAUCAGAGGAUAUCUCUGCAGAAUUUGAAACACAACAAAUACUAUUCUGAAAAAAAUGUUCAUCACUUUAAAAUGAAAUUACUUCCCCCAGCAAAAUGUCCACUCUCUCUCUCCUCGGGCUCCUCCAAGAAGCUGAGAAACAGGAGAUACUUUAUAUGCCCUCAUAUGACUCAUUUAACUAUUAAACAAUCAGAUGUAGCUCUAAUUCACUGACACCCCCUCUCAUGGGAUAGACAUCCAUCCAUCCAUACAUACAUAUAUACAUACAUACAAACAUAUACACAUACACACACACAUACAUACACACGU